GAGUUUGAUCAUGGCUCAGAUUGAACGCUGGCGGCAGGCCUAACACAUGCAAGUCGAGCGGUAGAGAGAAGCUUGCUUCUCUUGAGAGCGGCGGACGGGUGAGUAAUGCCUAGGAAUCUGCCUGGUAGUGGGGGAUAACGCUCGGAAACGGACGCUAAUACCGCAUACGUCCUACGGGAGAAAGCAGGGGACCUUCGGGCCUUGCGCUAUCAGAUGAGCCUAGGUCGGAUUAGCUAGUUGGUGAGGUAAUGGCUCACCAAGGCGACGAUCCGUAACUGGUCUGAGAGGAUGAUCAGUCACACUGGAACUGAGACACGGUCCAGACUCCUACGGGAGGCAGCAGUGGGGAAUAUUGGACAAUGGGCGAAAGCCUGAUCCAGCCAUGCCGCGUGUGUGAAGAAGGUCUUCGGAUUGUAAAGCACUUUAAGUUGGAGGAAGGGCAGUAAAUUAAUACUUUGCUGUUUGACGUUACCGACAGAAUAAGCACCGGCUAACUCUGUGCCAGCCG
rnacentral:rRNA from 1 species